rnacentral:rRNA from 1 species
GAUGAACGCUGGCGGCGUGCCUAAUACAUGCAAGUCGAGCGAACAGAUGAGGAGCUUGCUCCUCUGACGUUAGCGGCGGACGGGUGAGUAACACGUGGAUAACCUACCUAUAAGACUGGGAUAACUUCGGGAAACCGGAGCUAAUACCGGAUAAUAUCUUUAACCGCAUGGUUCAAUAGUGAAAGACGGUUUUGCUGUCACUUAUAGAUGGAUCCGCGCCGCAUUAGCUAGUUGGUAAGGUAACGGCUUACCAAGGCAACGAUGCGUAGCCGACCUGAGAGGGUGAUCGGCCACACUGGAACUGAGACACGGUCCAGACUCCUACGGGAGGCAGCAGUAGGGAAUCUUCCGCAAUGGGCGAAAGCCUGACGGAGAAACGCCGCGUGAGUGAUGAAGGUCUUCGGAUCGUAAAACUCUGUUAUUAGGGAAGAACAAAUGUGUAAGUAACUAUGCACGUCUUGACGGUACCUAAUCAGAAAGCCACGGCUAACUACGUG